CCGGCUCGCCGCGGGGUGCGAGGGGUGCCCCGCGGGGUCCUGCGGACAACGCACCGGAGGGAGGAUGAGCAAAAAAAAAAAAAAAAUACCCCAAGUGCGUACGGUUUGCAGAGGGGUCUGUCCUCCGUAAAUGCUGGGUGAUUUCUGCAGGAAAUUUCAGGAUUUCAAAAAAUUAUGUCUUCAGAAUUUUGUUGGUUUUUUUUCUUUAAGAUAGCUUUUAUGGGGCUCUCUGAGGUUUUAUUGCUUGUUCUCUUCUGCUCCUGCCCAAGCAACACUGAAAAUAGGAGGGUUGCCCCUUCCUAAGUAAGUAGAUCUCUCUGCAGCCCCAGAAGACUGUUGGAAAUACAGAUUAAUUUUCUUCUCUUACCCUUCAGUAUCAACAAAACCCCAAAAUGUAGCCAGCUAAACAGGUGGAACUGCUCUGUGUUGUCCUUCACUGUUUUACAACACCCUAACCUGUGUGUUUGUCGGGAAAAAAUCUUUUGUCUUUCACAGGACCCUGUCCCUCACAUGUAACCUCUGAUGCCACGUAAGACACCAGGAGUGUCAUUCAAAGAGUAACGUCUGUGAGGCGCAGUGCGGAGCCCCCAGUCCCACCUUGCGGCGUCUGGCUGCAUACUCCGCGCGCACAAGCUCACAUCACCAUAUGAUCUGAGAGCCUUCCAGAAAUACAUUACGGAAUCAUGGAAUCAUGGAUGGUUUGGGUUGGAAGGAACCUUAAAGAUCAUCUAGUUCCAACUGCCCUGCCGUGGGCAGGGACACCUUCCACUAGAUCAGGAACCUUCCGCAGCUUGGAAUGGAAUUGAGGUAUGGACAGUACUUAGUCAAACAGAUUGGACUUCAUCAAGUUACUGUUCUGUUGGACAUGUUAGCAUGCGGGGUGCUGUACUGAGACUGUUUGAAUGUCACAGACCAAACUGGAUUGAGCCUGGCCAGACUCAACGGGCAGAAUGAGAUAACUCAGAGAUAACGUGGGAGGAUAAAAGGAGAAGACCAAGGAUCCACCUCCCUGAGUCCGUCAAAAAACACUUGGAAGGAAGGCUUCAACAGAAAUGCUGGUGCUGGAGCAAGGGAGCAGGGAGCAAGCAGUCAAUCAGGUUGAGCAGGAAAUGUGGGACUACCCUUCCAAGUGGCCAUCCAGUUAUAGCCAGAUCCCUCCAGCUUUUUCUCCUGAGCGUGCACGUGAUGCACUUUUCUCCUGAGCGUGAGUCACGUGAUGAGCUUCGGAGUAGCGCUGGCUCCUGCUCGGUGACCUCCAUUUCAACUGGUCAGCUGUGUCUGGUGCAUCGGAUCAUGGGGAUGGACAGAGAAGCCAACGGAAGGACAGGCUGUGACUGUAAGGGAGAUGCAGACCUUCCCUGUAGCGGAGAAUGAACCAGAAACAAGAUGUGUGAGUUACUGCAGUGUGUGAGAUUGCGAUGCUUUGUAACCCCCAGUGGAUAAAUAUAAAAAUGGAUAAAAAUUUCUUCACUGUUGAGCAAGAUCGAGGGUCUUUGCAGAAAGACUUAUUGUACAGAAGCUGUAACUCUCAGGUAUAAAGCAUUUGUAUGUUCAAAAUGCAGACACAAGUCAAUGGAAAACAAAAUUUCCUGAUGGGACCCCACCACCAGUGAGA